AGAGCAAUCCCUGUGUCCUCACAUCGGCCAAGAAAUCAGGUCUUUACCUGAGGCCGAGGUGUCACACUAUUAUGAUGAUCUUCACAUUGCUUCCUCGUUCCCUUCCUCUGCCGAAGACCCCCGAUUCAUCACGACCGAUACACAAUCGAAGAUAAGAACCAUCGAAGGAAACAAUGUCCUUCUUCAUUGCGAGAUUGCCAAUUUGGGGUCCAGCAAAAGAUUUUGGUACAAGUACGAUUUCGGUGCAAGCAAAGAAAAUGCAUUACGAGAACCGCUAAUUAAUGGUAAUAAGACAGGUCAGUAUUUUUGGCAGUUUCAUCAUCUCACUUUCCUGAUCGGCAACCAUUUAGAUGAAGAUGAACGAGCAUAGA